rnacentral:lncRNA from 1 species
CGUUCACACUGCACCUCUCCUUCCUGUUCUAAUAUCGAUUAAAAUGCCCCUGCUUCUUGACUCACAUUUGCGUAUAAACCAACAGACCCUAAUUCCAGUCGCGCGUAACGUCGAACGACCCGUCUGAAAAAAAAUUAUUGCGACACGAGGACUUCCUAAGAGGUCACCCAUCCGAGUACUACUCUCGCCCAAGCACACUUAACUGCAGAGUUCUGAUGGGAUCCGGUGCAUUAGUGCUGGUAUGAUCGCACCCGUUUAAUUCCGCGCUGCAAAUACAUAAACUCCUUCUCCUUUCUUCCCCCUCCCGUCAUUUGUUUCCUUGUGCGUGCGCCCUGCACCUCCUGUGAUCGUUCUAAUAUCAAGUAAAAUUCUACGGUGCCGUGACUCACAUUUGCGAAUAAACCUGAGGACUAUAAUUCAAGUCGAGCGUAUCGUCGAAAGAAUCAUCUGCAAAAAAAUGGGUGCAACACGAGGACUUCACAAGAAAAUGGGUGAAAUAUAAGGACUUCGCAGGAGGUAACCCAGGCUAGUACUACUCUCGCCCAAGCACCCUUACCUACGGAGUUCUGAUAGAAUCUGUUGCAUUAGUGCUGGUAUGAUCGCACCUGUUUCAUUUUGUGCUGAAAAUACAUACACUCCUUCUCCUUCCCUCCCCCUCCCAUCAAUUGUUUCCUUGUACGUUCACACUGCACCUCUCCUUCCUGUUCUAAUAUCGAUUAAAAUGCCCCUGCUUCUUGACUCACAUUUGCGUAUAAACCAACAUACCCUAAUUCCAGUCGCGCGUAACGUCGAACGACCCGUCUGAAAAAAAAUUAGUGCGACACGAGGACUUCCUAAGAGGUCACCCAUCCGAGUACUACUCUCGCCCAAGCACACUUAACUGCAGAGUUCUGAUGGGAUCCGGUGCAUUAGUGCUGGUAUGAUCGCACCCGUUUAAUUCCGCGCUGCAAAUACAUAAACUCCUUCUCCUUUCUUCCUCCUCCCGUCAUUUGUUUCCUUGUGCGUGCGCCCUGCACCUCCUGUGAUCGUUCUAAUAUCAAGUA